UUGCCCUACGGGGCGCAGCAGUGGGGGAUAUUGCACAAUGGGGGGAACCCUGAUGCAGCGACGCCGCGUGGGUGAAGGAGCGUUUCGGCGCGUAAAGCCCUAUCGGCAGGGAAGAAGAUGACGGUACCUGACCAAGAAGCCCCGGCUAACUACGUGCCAGCAGCCGCGGUAAUACGUAGGGGGCAAGCGUUAUCCGGAUUUACUGGGUGUAAAGGGCGGGUAGGCGGGAGAGCAAGGCAGACGUGAAAUUCCAGGGCCCAACCCUUGAACUGCGUUUGAAAC
rnacentral:rRNA from 1 species